GACGUAGGGCGCAAGCGUUGUCCGGAAUUAUUGGGCGUAAAGAGCUCGUAGGCGGCUUGUUGCGUCGACUGUGAAAAACCACGACUCAACCGUGGGACUGCAGUCGAUACGGGCAGACUAGAGUGCGGUAGGGGAGACUGGAAUUCCUGGUGUAGCGGUGAAAUGCGCAGAUAUCAGGAGGAACACCGGUGGCGAAGGCGGGUCUCUGGGCCGUAACUGACGCUGAGGAGCGAAAGCGUGGGGAGCGAACAGG
rnacentral:rRNA from 1 species